rnacentral:rRNA from 1 species
UACGUAGGUGGCAAGCGUUGUCCGGAAUUAUUGGGCGUAAAGCGCGCGCAGGUGGUUUCUUAAGUCUGAUGUGAAAGCCCCGGGCUCAACCUGGGAGGUGCGCUUGAUACUCGAGGGCUUGAGUGCGGGAGAGGAGAGUGGAAUUCCCAGUGUAGAGGUGAAAUUCGUAGAUAUUGGGAAGAACACCGGUGGCGAAGGCGGCUCUCUGGACCGUAACUGACGCUGAGGCGCGAAAGCGUGGGGAGCAAACAGG